GACGAACGCUGGCGGCGUGCCUAAUACAUGCAAGUAGAACGCUGAAGGAGGAGCUUGCUCUUCUGGAUGAGUUGCGAACGGGUGAGUAACGCGUAGGUAACCUGCCUGGUAGCGGGGGAUAACUAUUGGAAACGAUAGCUAAUACCGCAUAAGAGUAGAUGUUGCAUGACAUUUGCUUAAAAGGUGCAAUUGCAUCACUACCAGUCGCACCUGCGUUGUAUUAGCUAGUUGGUGGGGUAUCGCCUCACCAAGGCGGCGAUACAUAGCCGACCUGUGAGGGGGAUCGGCCACACUGGGACUGAGACACGGCCCAGACGCCUACGGGAGGCAGCAGUAGGGAAUCUGCGGCAAUGGACGGAAGUCUGACCGAGCAACGCCGCGUGAGUGAAGAAGGUUUUCGGAUCGUAAAGCUCUGUUGUAAGAGAAGAACGAGUGUGAGAGUGGAAAGUUCACACUGUGACGGUAUCUUACCAGAAAGGGACGGCUAACUACGUG
rnacentral:rRNA from 1 species